AGAAGCCAGGCAUGCCUAUCCACGAGCUUAUUAAAGAAUUCAGGGCUACAAAAGGCUCUCAUUGUAAGUUACUUAAUUUUUCUCAUCUCUGUUGUUUAACAAAACAGGCCAAUCAAUUCUCAUCCUAUCGGUUGUUUGUUUUCAUAUUGUAAAUCAUAAUGUGCACUUUUGCUUGUUUGCAGUCUACAGGAAGAAGAAUAAAGCUGUACAACCACAAGUACAGCCGCAGGUCACUGUCCAAGGUCCUGAAAGGUCCCCCCAUCCCAAGCCAAUCCCGGAGUGGGAGGCAGGCCCGUUGCUAAUGGAAGCUAGAUGUGAGGAUGUCAGGGAGCCUUUCUCCUUCAUCUCUAGUGACCAGCCCUGCAGCAACAGAGACAUCCAGGCUAUGGAUGCAGUGGCAGGAGCUUCUACUGACGGUGGCCAGAACGAGUGUGGCCUGCAGGUCUCUGCCACCACCAUCACACUGUCCCCAGGGCCCAUCCCAGCAGACAUUGCCCAGGGCCUGGCCCUGUACCGGCGCAAGAUUGACCUAGAGUCGUCCCCCCGGGACUCUCCUCCACUCGGGGCUUCCGCCAACAACUCCUGUGCGCGUGUCUGUUCGGCCCUCUUCGAGCGGGUCUCCUUCAGCGAGAUCAGCCAGGAGUUGGAUGCGGUGCUGAUCCGCACUGGCGUGCUCCCAUCAGAGUCCCUGAUCAUCGUGCAGACAGAGCAUGUACCCAAGAUGAUUGUGUUCCAGGCUCAUCCCCUAUUGGUUGAGAACGCAGCAGUGGCUCCGCCUCCGUGUGACGUCCCUGUCAGGUAUAAGUGCAGCUGUGCCUCAAUGGUGGGCGCCCUCGAAGACGUGGUGGCACCAUUGGAGAUGGCCGUUGCAUCUCAGCCUAGCUAUCCCAUCUGUGAGAGAGCAGGUCCCGUGGUGGCGAGACCAGCUGCUAUGGUCGCUGAGCCUGAGGAGUCUCCAGCCCUUGGAGACAAGGUUGUACCCCUUGAGGUCCACUCUGCACCAGUCAAACACCAGGAGAUGACACCCUCAAGGCCCUCCAUCCCAGUUGGAACACUGGAGCUCCCUGUUUCAGCCCCUGCUGUGUCUGACUCCCCUGCUGUGUCUGACUCCCUUGCUGUGUCUGACUCCCCUGCUGUGUCUGACUCCCCUGCUGUGUCUGACUCCCCUGCUGUGUCUGACUCCCCUGCUGUGUCUGACUCCCCUGCUGUGUCUGACUCCCCUGCUGUGUCUGACUCCCCUGCUGUGUCUGACUCCCCUGCUGUGUCUGACUCCCCUGCUGUGUCUGACUCCCCUGCUGUGUCUGACUCCCCUGCUGUGUCUGACUCCCCUGCUAUGUCUGACUCCCCUGCUGUGUCUGACUCCCCUGCUAUGGCUGUCCAAGACGCGCAGAUUAGUUUGACCGAUCGUCCUCUCUCAGUCAUCCUACACUCCCUCUCCGGUGCAACUUCACCAUUCGAGACAGCAGAGGAUGUGAUGCUGAUUCCUAUGGUAGUGUCCCCUCCUGAAUCAGUCAAAAGGGUGGUGAGAGAGUCCUCUGAUCUUCUGUGUCCUCUUCCUGCAGCGACAUUGGAGACUGAGUCUGUUAGUGUGAUUUGUCCCCCUCCUUCUCCAGUGACUGUGGAGAUCCAGUCUUCCAUUCUGGCUUCUCCCCUUACUGCUGCAACCGUGGAGACAGAAUCCUCCAAUCGGAUUUGUCCUUCUGUGGUCAGCGUGGAGACAGCUUAUCGGCCAAUUCAAUCUCCUUCUGCUGCAGAGACAGUGGAGGCCGAAUCUUCUGUUUUGACCUGCCCCCAUACUGCGGUGACCGACGACUUUGUGGCCCCUGUUUCUGUGUACCUUCCUGUUGUGGCACCAGAAGAGACCGGUGUCCCCAGUGUGCAGCUCCCAGCUCCCGCGCCUGCCUUGACAGAGGAAACUCAGUGCCAGUCUGCUUCACCAUGCCUGCCCACCCUCACGGCCGCAGGAGAGUCCAGAACCCCCUUCUUGGUCUACCUCCCACUGCCUGCUCCAGAGCUGGCUAAGACCCCUGGUCUGUUGUGCCAACUCGGCCUGGGACCAGAGGAAGCCAAGAGCUUCCCUUUCCUGUGUCUCCCUAUUUCUGACAUCCCCAGGACCCCAAGUCUUGUGACUGCCAGCCUGGCUCCAGCUCAGACUGCGGCUGUGGCUCCUGCUGCUGCUACGGAUUUACCAAGGACCAACCUCCCUGGAGUGACAGAUAUCCCCAGGACCCUGAGUUAUGUGGCGGCUGGAGCUCAGGAGCUACCACGGCUCCAGAGCUAUGCGGCUAACGCCGCUGAAGUCCAGGAGCCACCGAGGACCCCCAGCUAUCUGGCUAACACCCCUGGAGUUCAGGAAAUACCACACAACCCCAGCUAUCUGAAAAACUCAGCUGUCUUCCAAGAUAUGUGCUUUAUGUGCCCCUCUGUUACCGCCUCCAAUCUGUCCAGGAACAAUAGCUUUGUGCACUCUCCGGCUGCCAUGGCUCCACAGCAGCUGAUUAGGGGCCCGUGUAUGAUGUCUCUGUACCCCCAGGGAGGGCCUGUGAUGGGCCACUGUACCCACUCCCCAGGACAGUGUCCUGCGUCUCUGCAGCAGCAGGCUGGCAUGGCUCCGCUCAACCACGGACAGCAGACCAACACCAACUUCAUGCCCAUUUGUUCUCAAGGGCCAAGCCUGUGUAGCUGCCUCGGCAGAACUGGCAGCCACUGGCGCCUCUGUCACCUGACGCGACCCGAGUCCCAGGGCAGGGUGGGCGGCAUGAUCUGCCCCUACCAGAACUCCCAGACCAUGAUGCACUGCAACAGCCUGGAUCACAUGGCCAACAUCCCCAUGUACCAGGACUGUGGCCACUACUCUAGCAGCUGCCACCUGCUGCCACCGUGCUCCCAGUCGUCCCACGGCAGCCUGCACACCCACCACGUGGCCGAGCCCCGUUGCUCUGCUCACAACCUGGGCACCUCCUUCGUCCAACCCCAGAACUGCUCCUCCGACCCCCUCUUCCACUACCCCCAGCAGUACCACCUGGUGGCCACCCCCUCCCAGGAGAGGCAGCAGGCCCUGUGCCCUCUCCAGUGCCCACUGCUGCAGCAGCGCCACAGCUCCCUGCUCUUCUGUGGGCACCAGGGGGAGCUGAGCAGGCUGGGCUCCUCCAGCUGUGUCCCUGCCACCAACCAGAGACAGAACCAGGGAGGGGUGGAGCAGAAGAACAACAACCCCAGCUGCGUAUCGCUUCAUAACAAAAGAUUAGACACGAGCGCAAACAACAAUCAAGGUAGCUAAACAUGUUGCCACUAUGAAAUGUAUGGUUGUGUUUUAGAUUUCACUUGGACUUUUUUGUUUAUUUCUGGAUGUCAGGGCUAGCAUCCAUGCCUACCAUGUGGUUAUUAUUAAAAGUUGAACAUAUGGCAUUAAGUGGUUGAAGAAGCUAUGUGUUUUGAUGUUAUAGAUGAAACUAUGCUCUCUCUUUUUCUUGUCACAGGCUGCGUCAUGAAUUGCAAUCCCCAGGGCAACUAAUCCUGUCUUCACAUGAGAAGGGCCUUAUUUUUGCAGUUGCCAAUGUCUCUUUUGCAUUCUUUUAAACUGAUAAUGAGGAAUAAAUAUACUUACAUUGCAUGAAUUUCGAUAGUGCACAAACCCUCAAUCAAUCACUACAAAAACAUACAACUUAAGGUAAUUGCAGCUAUGUAAAGGCAGUAGAUGGAGGGUAAACUUCCACAUUGAUACAAAAGUUUGACAAAGAUUCGGUAUUGGGCUGUUGUUUAAAGCUAGAAUCCUUAGUCGCUACAUACAUUUUUGAACUAUAACUUAUAAAUCCCUCUUGAGCUUAGUUCAACUGUCGUACCCCAUCAGAAACCAAAAUAUAAGCUUGUUUUACUCCAAUGUUUGUAUUCAAUGUAAACAAACACUUCAUACCCUCCAAACAUGGUUCAAACUAUAAUUUUGAUAUCACUGAUGGUCAGUCCUUAUGUCAAUGGCUCUGUCUAUGAAUUUGAGAGAGGCAUGGAGAAAUGUAACCAAUCGCUCAACUUUUUACCAAAACAGUGGCGAGGUGUCACUUUGUUCUAUUUUUAAACUAAGGAUUCUAGCUUUAGGACCACUGUUUCUAUGGAAUGAAUAGAACCAUUGCAACACUCACAAAAUGAGUCAUAAUGUCACAUCCAUGUUGCAUAGUAACAGAUUCCAUGGGUGGAAGUGUGAGUAAAAAAAGAAAUAGAAAAUCACCAUCAACCUUUAAAAUCUGGCUUAGACAGUCUGGACUGACUUGGACUGAGCCUAAGGCCAUGUCAUCCUUUUAACAUCUGCUCAGUUACUCGUCAGAACUCAAAAUGACCUGUUCGCCAGGUUGUUAUGACAUAGUUGCUUGGGAUAAGGAAUGCAUUAAAUAGAAAAGCUAAAUUAGCUUGCAGGUAAUGUUAGCUAUUAUACAUGUUGUUUGUUUUCCUGCUAUUGAAGCUCAUCACAAUAUUAUUUGACUAUCUAAUGAGAAGAAGUUAGAGCAACUACACCAUCAUAUUUAAAAAGUAUAACAAUAGAGUAGACAGAAAGUGAUACAUUGUUACUUUUGGCUAUGUUGUGGUGGAUGAGCUAAACAAUGGAACAUGGCCUGUGUCUGUCGAUUGCCACCAACAACAACAAGCAAAACUCUAUGCAAGUGCCCACUACCAGUUACCAACACCAACAACAAGCAACACUGUCAUCACCAGUGCCUACUGCCAGUCCAAUGAAAAGGGAUUUCAACUCUACAGUCUGACCUUCAACCCCCACUGAGCCAAAGUACAGUCCACUCAGUCCAACUGGGACAACAGCUGGUUCAGAACCAAAGGAGAGAGUCAAAUCUCCCCAAACAUGACAGCAGAGAAAAUAAAUAAAGAGGUCAAAUCGAACUCAACCUAAAAAAUGGAAUCACCAAGGAAAUGUGUGGGGUAAAGAUCCCGAAUCUCCUAAUUUACCCCCGGCACAAUUAGCUAUUGUUUAUUUCACACUAUGUUGAAGUAAAAAUCAGUGUAUAACACGUCAACCCCAACUCAUCUUCAUGUCAUCUUAACCAAUCAACUGCAUUACUGUUAAAUACUUUUACUAUGAAGCGAAAACCGCCAAAUAUUUCCAAAUCGGACUUAAGUAACAACAUUGUGGGCCUGUUACAAUACAUAAAUCAUAAGUCACUGUCCCUAGCCGACUACCACCCGGUUACUCCACCAUGCACCUUAGAGGCUGCUGCCCUAUGUACAUAGUCAUGGAAAACUGGUCACGUUAAUCAUGUUUACAUACUGUUUAUUUGCAUUCAUUUUUUAUUGAAUAUUUAAAAUAUACAAUAUACUUGCAGUGAAGCAUCACAUUUAGUCAUCUAACAGCCUACCAUCCGGAGUGACACACAGACACAACCAGGGUUUACAUACUGUUUAACCCCCUUCAUAUGUACAGUGUAUACUGUAUUCUAGUCAAAACCUAUCCAAUUGAACUAUUGCUGUACAUACUGCACAUUCGGAAAGUAUUCAGACCUCUUGACUUUUUCCACAUUUUGUUACGUUACAGCCUUAUUCUAAAAUGGAUUAAAUUGUUUUUUCCCCUCAUCAAUCUACAAACAAUACCCCAUAAUGACAGACCAAAAACAGGUUUAGACAAAACUGAAAUAUCUCAUUUAAAUAAGUAUUCAGACCCUUCACAUAAUUUUGCACGCCCAAUUUUUCAGUUUUUGAUUUGUUAAAAAAGUUUGAAAUAUCCAAUAAAUGUCGUUCCACUUCAUGAUUGUGUCCCACUUGUUGUUGAUUCUUCACAAAAAAAUACAGUUUUAUAUAUUUAUGUUUGAAGCCUGAAAUGUGGCAAAAGGUCGCAAAGUUCAAGGGGGCCGAAUACUUUCGCAAGGCACUGUAUUUGUGGAGUUUCUCCCAUUCUUCUCUACAGAUCCUCUCAUGAUCUGUCAGGCUUGAUGGGGAGCGUCGCUGCACAGCUAUUUUCAGGUCUCUCCGAAGAUGUUCGAUUGGGUUCAAGUCCGGGCUCUGUUUGGACCACUCAAGGACAUUAAGAGACUUGUCCUAAAGCCACUCCUGCG
rnacentral:lncRNA from 1 species